rnacentral:misc_RNA from 1 species
GUUUCAGCUGAUAGAAUAAGUUCAAUUGAAGUUCAUAAAUAUUGUUGUUUUAAGUGCAUUUUUCGACGACCAAUAUUUGAAGGGAAACUACAAAUCUGCCAUUACAGGUGAGAGCUGAGAAGUAUAAGAGCUGCAUUUCAGUGUGCAGAAGAGAAGAAGAGAAGCUGCAAAAAUAGAAAGCCUUCUCCAAUGGCUGCUUUUUCAUAUUUCUGUGCCCAAAUCACCGUCAUUGCUGCUAUACUUAUCCUCUCCUCUUCAAUAUUUGCUUCUAGUGCUAGUCCAACUAGGAAUAUUUCACGUCCCUUCGAGAAGAUCUAUGCUUUUGGUGAUUCAUUCACCGACACUGGAAACACUAGGUCUGUGUCAGGUCCUAGCGGUUUUGGCCAUGUCUCUAGCCCUCCAUAUGGCAGCACCUUCUUUCACCAUUCCACGAACCGAUACUCCGAUGGCCGGCUCAUGAUUGAUUUUGUAGCUGAAGCGUUGUCCUUACCAUUCUUGCCACCGUACCGUUACCUCAAAGGCAAAGCAAAUCAUGGGGUGAACUUUGCUGUUGCUGGCUCUACAGCGAUAAAUCAUGCAUUCUUUGUUAAGAACAAUCUUACACUUGAUAUUACUCCUGACUCUAUCCAAACUCAGAUAAUUUGGUUCAAUGAGUUCUUGGAAAAGCAGGGAUGCCAAGGGUCAGUUUCGUCAGGCCCUGAGUGCAAAGCAGCAUUAGAAGGUGCGUUGAUCUGGGUUGGUGAAAUUGGAGUUAACGACUAUGCAUAUAUCACUGGAUCGUCUGUAUCUGGUGACACCAUUCGCAAACUUGCAAUCAGUAGUGUCACUACCUUUCUGCAGGUGCUAAAACAAUUUCAAAAUCUACAUGUUUCUCUUGCUUUCCAAUUAUCUGGAGCUCGCUUUAUUUUAUAAAAUUUUGCAGGCAUUGUUGAGCAAAGGUGUGAAACACGUUGUUGUCCAAGGUCUGCCUCCCACAGGAUGCUUGCCACUGGCCUUGUCACUAGCCCCUGAAGACGACAGGGAUGACAUGGGCUGUGUGAAGAGUGUAAACGAUCAAGCCAGCACCCACAACGCCGUUUACUUGACGAAAUUACAAGAUCUCAGGAGGAAAUUUCCCAAUGCUACAAUUGCCUAUCUUGACUACUGGAACGCCUACUGCACAGUUAUAAAGAAUCCAAAUGGUUAUGGGUUCAAGGAGCCCUUGAAGGCCUGCUGUGGAUCAGGAGACCCGCCUUACAACUUUAAUCCGUUUGCUGUAUGUGGCACGUCUUCUGCCAGUGCUUGUCCAAAUCCUGCUAAGUACAUAAACUGGGAUGGAGUUCACCUCACAGAAGCCAUGUAUAAGGUGCUUACUGGUAUGUUUCUCCAUGGAACUUACAGUCACCCUCCAUUUGGGUACUUGUUGGACAGGAAACAGCGUGAAGGAUGAAUCUUUUGCCGUUGGAUCAACUUUGAUUUAUGAUAAUAUUGAUUGUCAUUUGUCAAUGAGAUCUGCUUGUGAUUGAAUUAGUUGUUUAAAACUUGAAAUCACACUGAAAAUAAAUAAAUAAAUAAAUCUCAUAAGAUGUCUGCAUGUGCAAAUGUGAUGGAAAGAAAGACAAAUUAAUAUAAGAAGGUAAUAACAAAAUUACAUAGAAUUGCAAGAUCAUGUGUUUCAUUUAAGAAAGCUGCAUAAAUGAACCAUUGGUGACCAAGCAAGCCUGUUGAGAACAGUAAAAUCUACGGCUUUAGCUUGUGAAAAGUAGAACUACCUGAGAUAAACCAUUUGUCAUAUAAGCUUCCACCCAGUUGGAUGCAAAAUAACCUGUUAAGAUCAUAUCUUUAUCCAGCAACAAAAUACAAUUGCAUUGAGAAACGUUGCCAGAUUAAAAUUACAGGUGCAAGAAAAGCAACAGAUUUCAAAUUAUCUCCAAAAGCAAGAGGUCCAUAUAUUGAUAGGCUUGAAUUCGAAACUACAAAUAAGGAUCCUUGAUAUUGCUGCUAAUAAUAUGGUCCAAAGAUAGAAUGGAUACACACCACGGCCUCCUGCUGUGCAGUAUUGAGAAGCAUCAUGAAUUGUCAUUUGCAAAGUAUGCCCAACACCUAGUCUUGAGAUGUGAAUAAGGUAACCAACACAGAAACACAAAUUUACUGUAAGUCCGCAUCUACUCAAUAAUUGACACUACAACCAACCAGGAUUCAGAUAUGUUAACAAAAGUACUUCAGAUGGUAGAGAAAUAAGUUAGAGAGAAAAAAAUCACUUUAAAGAAGGAAAACCAUUAUCCUCUUCAAAUUGAAAAUUAAGAUCUUUACCACUCCAUCCCAUUAAUCUACAAAAUAUCAGAGAAAUUAUCAUAUUCUAAUGGGUGAAAG